AGGUCAAGAAAUUGCUGUGAAGAGACUAUCAAUGUGUUCUGGACAAGGAGUCACUGAGUUCAAAAAUGAAAUUAAACUAAUUGCCAAGCUUCAACAUCGGAAUCUUGUAAAGAUAUUUGGUUAUUGUAUUCAUAGAGAAAUGAAAUUAUUAAUUUAUGAGUAUAUGUCCAACAAAAUUCUUGACCAUUUUAUCUUUGAUGAAAGGCAAAGCAUACUAUUAGAAUGGCCUAAACGUUUUGAGAUUAUAUGUGGAAUUGCUAAGGGGCUUCUCUAUCUUCAUCAUGAUUCUAGAUUGAGAAUUAUACAUCGAGAUCUCAAAGCCAGUAAUGUGUUACUUGAUAAAAACAUGAAUCCCAAAAUUUCAGACAUUGGUUUGGC